rnacentral:rRNA from 1 species
UACGUAGGGGGCGAGCGUUGUCCGGAUUUAUUGGGCGUAAAGAGCGUGUAGGCGGCCAGGUAGGUCUGCUGUGAAAACUCGAGGCUCAACCUCGAGACGUCGGUUGAAACCGCUUGGCUAGAGUCCGGAAGAGGAGAGUGGAAUUCCCGGUGUAGCGGUGAAAUGCGUAGAGAUGCGGAGGAACACCGAUGGCGAAGGCAGCCCCCUGGGUAGACACUGACGCUCAGGCACGAAAGCGUGGGGAGCAAACAGG